CUAGCAGCAUCCCGUUGCAGCCCACCUUUCCUCUAUGUUUUUUUGCUCUUGUAACCCCACCUGUCAUCAUGUUCCUCUCGCCAGAGUUUGACAUGAACACGAGUUCAUCCCGUACAUGCAAGAAUCCAGAAAAAUCGCCCCGUUUCGGUCGAUUUCUUUGCCCCUACUCCACGUCUAUCUCCCCUAUAUAUGCCCACGCAUCGACCCUGUUCGUUUUCUUUCGAAAAUCCCAGCCCAAUCGUUCCACGAGCUCAGAACCGAUCUCGCGGGAUUACGGCUGUGGCUAAGCUCGAACUCGAGGAGCACCAGGAACGCGAAGAGACGCCGCUGGAGCUCGCCGGAGACGAAGAAGUUUAGCCAGGAACCACCGCUGUUCCGGACAAGGAGGGUCGCUGAAGACGACGUGUACGGGAUCGUCUCUUCGAUCUGCACCUCGCCGUCACCUUCCUAGAGCCGGAAGCCGCUCAGCAACGUCGCCAUCCACGCCCAAUCACCGCGUCCGUCUCGUCGUCGACCAUCACUGAUUUAUUCGAAGUGCGAGAGAAAGUUCACGAGGAAGAAAUCAUCAUCAAAUUUUACUAAGGCAAGUUACACCUUUGUUCAAAUUUUUGUCCCAAGUUUUCUAUGCAUGUCUUUUUCCUUCAAAUGAAUAGUAUGCAUGUGUAGGAUGUUUUGGUAGAUUUCUUGGUAAAUAUUUUACAAGUUCGCGUGCUAUUUUGUAGAUUGCCAUGAGUAGAAAUAUUACUUAGAAAUAUUUCCACUUGAUAUGAUGGCCAUAGGAAUCCCUAAAAUUUUCUAUGUGCUAUGCUUAUGCUACGUAAAUAUCAAAAGGGGUUCGAAACAAGAAAAUUUUCUAAGUACUUGAGCUCUGUUUAUGAGCGUAACUUUUCUCCCAAAAGUCUCCUUCAAAAUAAAACUAAGUUUUCUUCUGGGCGGAAUGGUUUUGUCGGGACAACGAGUGGAGAUUGGUGGAGGACUGCCGCCCAGGAUCAAAGAAGUCUGCCAUGUUCCAGAUGUCAGAAGCUUCCAGUGCAACCACAAUACAAUAUGGGCUCUGUCUUGGCUAAGUACUUAGUGGGAAACCUCGCCUGGGUACCGCCAUUGGGAGGAAUUUUGGGCACGGGCGGAUCCGGAAGGUAGAGGGGCUGCUAAGGAAAGCUUCGUCGUGACCUCGUCCUGGCCUUAAUGAAGAUGAAGAGUUUUGGCAAAAAGGCUUGGUUGUGAAUUGUGUGUAAAGCGCGCAACCUCUCGAGAGUGUUAACCUGAUCGAUCAGCCGUGUCCACGGUAACAGGACAAUUUGAGCAUCUGAAGGAUGGAGCCUCUGAAUGAUUUCCUCUCUCUUUUCAAAAGAAUUUUCAAAACCCUAUGGCGUGUGUAAUAUCGUUCAUAGGUGGGUUUUGGGGCCUUGGUGUGUAAUAUCCAAGUGCUCGGGGACUUGGUGUGUCAUAUCCAAGUGUUAGGUUGAUUUGGACACUGGUGUGUAAUAUCCAUGUGCUCCACUCGGCCAAUAUUACUUUAUCAAAAUUUUGCAAAGUAGGGUAAAAGAUUUUCUCUCUUUACUAAGUAAAAAUUGGCUUUACGCAAAUAAAACUCAAGCCUCCUUUUGUCUGCCUUGCAUGUAGAUUUAGUCAAUUUUCCCCUUCUUGGUGUAAUUUGCCAUACAUUCAAAGUAUUGACCACUCUCGUGGCUGCAACUUUUCAUGUUGCAGGUUAUUCGACGACUUGUGAGAAUGCGUAGGUCGUGAGUCUACACUCAACCAGCCUGUUGCAUUGAUGGGACUUCCAAGAUGUUAUUUCGUUUUCCGUUGUAUUGAGCUAGCCUUUGGCUAUGCAAGUUGUAAUUAUUUGUACUCUGGAUUAUUCAAAUCGUGUAAUAAAGACUUGUGUUUUACAUGAUAAUUCAUCGACUGUGAGUGCUA